GUCACGCUGAUGUAAUUGUAACCUACGUUGUUGGAGAGAGAAGUAACAUCGUGGAAGAGACAUAAAGUGAGUAAAAAACGUCCUAAAUGCAGUUAGAAUUUAUUUAGAACUACAAAUUAAAUUUCUUUUAGUAAUAAUUGUUUUUUAAUGUCACAAUUCCAACCCUGCUCCUUUAUCCGGGUUUGGACCGGCAAGAGUGACCCGAAAUUGGCACGACUGCGUUACAGUCAGUGCGGGAGCAGCGGCUUCGCUCUUGCGCGAUUCAUUUGCCGUUUGGAGGCAUAGGUGUGAACGUCUCCUGCCCUGAUAGCAGCUGGGGGAGGACUAUCCUCCGCCUGUGAGCGCUUUGGCACGGGUGAAGUGCCCAUGGCAGCGCCGCUGCUUGUUGAGAACCUGUUUCAAAUCAUAAGCAGACACAACCAAAAACCGCUUCAUGUCGGAAACAAACAGGAUGCAUCUAAAAGGCAUGCGGGGCAGAGGAGAUGAGCAGAAGAGGAAAGAGAUAUGGAGGACAGAUAGCGCCAUCGAUAUGUUGCUCAUCAAUGACCAACAAUUAGCAGAAAUCUGGCAACGGACAGUUUGCAAAAAGACGGCAUUACACCCCAACCCUCCACUGUCCCGGUAACAGCGGAUUACCAUGGAGAGUAAAGUUUUCAGUUGGUAAAGCAAAAAAAAAAAAAAAAAGUCAGAGGGCUGCCUCCUGCCCUGCCCUCUGACAUUUUUACUCUCCAUGGUAAUCCGCUUCUCCCCUCUCCCCCCUCGUCCUCACCUCCUUACCUGUGCCCCUCCCUUUAGGCAGGGAGGGGUCUAAAUUCAUUUCCCUGUUCAUAUUUCAGCCUCCCUUCUCCCCACUCACCCCUCCUCCUCACCUCCUCUCUCGCAAGGAGGAGAUGAUUGCUUUUUGGUGACUGUCUGGCAGUUCUUGUGCCAGGGUCCGGUUAAUAUGCCCAUGUUUGGUCUGUGUUGUAAAGUUUGAGGGCGCAAAUAAAACUCCAUCAAUCUUUUUCAAAGAUUUAAAAGGAAACUUUAAAACUUGAGUGUCUAUGAGGGGACGUGAAUAUUUCAGCCUCCCUUCUCCCCACUCACCCCUCCUCCUCACCUCCUCCUCAUCCCUCCUUCUCUCCCUUCCUUUGUGUGGAGUUUGGUGUGGAGAAAAACAAGUUUUCUCUUGUUGAGAACUUCCACUAAACAGUACCGGGAUAGACACAACACUUAAAAAGUUAACGGCUACGACAACGGGGAAAAAAUGUUUAAAAAGAAGCCUUACGGUGGAUCCGAUUCCUUCCACCCAAAUGUUAUUUAUGUGAAAAUAAAAAUGCCACCGCACACGUUUGCUUGAGGAAUCCAUCAGACCAGACCACCUCCAUUUUGUGAGCCCACAGAACCCUCCCCAUCUGGCUCUCCCCUCCUCACCCCUCCUCCUCUCCCAUCCUCUGUGUGGAGAAAACCAUGUUUCAGAACUGUGGGAUGUUUAUGGACGCGGAAUCCAAAGAGUUGCCUUGGUAUGUGCAAAUACCUUUUACGUAGCCCAUCUUAAAUUACUUUAAAAAAAAAACAAGAAAGAAAGAAAGAAAGAAGGCAAUUUCAGAAUACCUGUCUCCAGCUCUCCCUCCUAGGUCAACAAAGGCACCCAUCUUGCACCAUGAACAACAGGAAGGCCUAACCCAGAAGAAGCCUAAGAUGAAAAAACAACACGAUCUGUUACCUUGUACAGACUGGUGGAGAUCGGAGAUUUGAUCGAGGAGUGGCCAGAGACAAACGAUAGUUUUCUAGAGAGGCCCCUUUGAGAUGGCACCAUCCUGGGAGAAACGGAACCUGGGCCGCCGUCUCCAGCCCGACUCGUUGGACCAGAACCAGGCGGUGGUUAUAGCCAAGCUAGCAGACUGGAAUCCAGCUACCACAUCAGCAGUGACAAACCCAGUAAACAAGAAUGACAGCCACAGAACGACAGGUCUGCACUCCAACGAGAGACCCCAACACACAGAGGAAACUCCAGGACUGGAAUCUUCAUGUGAAGAAAAUAUCGGUGAUCAUCGGUGACUCCAAUGUGCACAGACUCCUCCGUCCUAUAAAGCAGAGGGGUACAGAUCGACAGAUUUCCAUGAGCGAAAUGUUGCCACCCGGUGAGGCCCAGCUGGAGAAAGCACACUGUGGAAAAUCUGGUUUUAUAACUUUGGACUGAAUACCAGUGAUGGAGCUGAAAAUGGGACUAAAGGCAGAGCAGUAAGCAAUCUUUCUAAGGCCCUUCUUUGUGAAGAACAAGCCACAUCGUUGCAUCUGAACAACUUUAUUACAGGUUUAGAUGAACAGAUUCCUGUACUUCCUACUUUGAUAUUCAGCACAGAGAAGGACAACAUUCACUCGACCAGUAGAGCUGCAAUGUGUAUGUUAGAACAGUGGAACCAGUGUGUAAAUGAGGCAUCCCCCAUAAGCCUUGAAAAGUGGGAGGAGAGUAGUGGUGUGAUUCACCUUUCUUAAGUUCCAAUGCUCAGCGGGUCCUUUGGACAGAAAUAAGUUCUUCUUCUUUCAAUUAUUGUUUAUUCUGUUCAUUGUAGAAUCAGCUAGGCUCCAGUGGUCAGGAGAAGCUUCUGCUAUAUGAAGCUGUUACAGUGCUUUUUGUUACAUUGAACGAGAGUAGUUUUUCUUGUUGCUUGUUUGAUCUACUGCCGUUUAAAAGAUUAUAAUUACUGAAGUGAAUGUGUUUUGAGACAGUUUACAGUGCCACUGAAGCUCCACUCAACCAAGUGUGCCUCAACAGUCUGAAAUGAAAAGAUUUUUCUUCCUUUUUUUUAUUUCUCUCCCUCUCAUGCUUCUGUUUGGAUUCCCAUUGGACAAAGCACUUCGGUUUGUGUUAGCAGGCUGAAAACAAUAAUUUUGGAUGUUUCUUUCGGCUCUUGAGGUGCCCUCAUUGAGUGCGGUUUGCCCAGUGUCCUCGAGGGUAUGUGAGGAGCCUUCCAUAGUUGGGUUGUUGUGUUUUUACCCCAGCAGCUAUUCAUCUCCAUCUCAACAGUUCAUGACCAACAUGCCGUGGCUGCCCCCUGUACCUGUCUGAGUACCUUUACCCAGGCAAGUUCAGGACCGUGCACGUCCUCCUGCCUUCAAAAGAGGGGGGAGGAGGAGGUGAAUAGUUCAGCCUUCCUUCUCCCCCCUCACCCUCACCCUUUACCCGUGCCCCUCCCUUUAGGCAGGGAGGGGUCUGAACUUCAUUUCCUUGUUCAUAUUCACGUCCUCCUGCCCUCUAUGAGGGGGCAGAAGGACGUGAAUAUUUCAGCCUCCCUUCUCCCCACUCACCCCUCCUCCUCCUCACCUCCUCUCUUUUACCUCGGCAGCCCAUGACCGGCAUGCCGUGGCUGCCCCCUGUACCUGUUGAGUACCUGUACCCUCAUCCACUGAAGCCUGGACCUCCAGCUGAUUGCAGCCACUUUAGUGCAAGGAGAUGAUUGCGUUUUGUGUGACUGUCUUGCAGUUCACCCUUCCCUUUCUACCCUAACCCAUUUUCCACUCCAGCCUCUACCCCACUCGGUUCAGACCCCUCCUCAGGCAAGGAGGGGUUUCAAUCCCAUUUCCCGCACCCCCAACCUUAACCCACCAUCAAGUCCUGCCCCCUUCUCUCCUCAUACCGCUGCCCACAGUUCAGACCCCUCCUCAGGCCCCUUACUGCUUGAACGGCUCUAACCAAAUUAGGAACAUAGGUUUUUUUUUUUUUUUUCAAAAGCAAAUGUUUUAAAAAAGAAAAGAACAGAAAAACAUAACUGAACACAACAGUAUGUCAGUGUACAGUGACUGAUCAGGCAGUACAGUUUUAGGAACCUUUUUAACUGAGGCAGGAUGGCAUUUUGGUUUUUAAUCAGAAUCUACCCUUCAGCCAGAAUUCAUUUAAAGAGCUGUGGGAACAGCUACCUGUGACUGAAUCUCUGUCAGUUUUGACACUAUCUCAACUGUGAACAGCAGUACAACGGGUCAUGAUGAAACCUGGAGGCCAGAUGACACCAUGGAGAUGUUUCAGAUCAUCAAUGAGCAGCAAUUAGCUGAAAACUUUGAUGAAAAUCUCUGAGCUUCCAAAUGACAUUUUAAAAAAAGACGGCAUUACACCUCCAGCCUCCACUGUUCCAGUUAUGACAGAUUACCCUGGCAAAUGUGGGUUUCAGCUGAGAUUCCAAAAGUCUACCCCACUGUUCAGACCCCUCCUCAGGCAGGGAGGGGUUUCAAUCCCAUUUCCCCCACCCCCAACCAAAUCCUAACCUUAACCCACCAUCCAGUCCUGCCCCCCUUCUCUCCUCAUACCGGUGCCCACAGUUCAGACCCCACCUCAGGCCCCUCCCUGCCUUUUCCAGCCUUAUAAAGAAAGGGAAGGCUGAAGUGGCAGACCGUCGUGCAAAAAACGAGCAUCUCCUCCAUGCACUGCUUACAGUCAAAUGACAAAAUAUGUGAACUCUUUUUAAACAGGAAAAAGGAAGAAAUUGUACACCAGAGGGUGCUGUAUUUAUUAUGUAGCUGUUUUUUGUUUUUUUUGUUUGUUUGUUUGUUGUCUCUUCUGUUUUUUCUCUCCAUACAGGUGAGCCAGGUGUUUUGUUUUUCUUUCUUUCUUCUCCCCUUUCUCGCCAUCUCUUCUCCCCUCAAUUUUUCCUUUCUCUCGCUCUCUUUCUUUCAUUCUUUCUCCCUGUCCUAUCUCCCAGUCAUGUCUGUCCCGACUGUAACAACUGAAAAUAAAAUAAAAUACACAAUUAUAAUAAAGGUCAAUCAAAUGGACCAAUAUGGCAAGGCCAUGAUGAUCCAGUUGGUAAAGUAAAUCCGCUUGGCAUCUCUCUUGGCCUUAAGACAACAAUUCUGAUGGCUAAAGAUCCAAGCGGGACAGGGGGGGAAAAAAAGAAAUUGUACACCAGAGGGGGGCAAGAAGGAGAAAAACCGUUGUUCCUUCCCUCCCCCAGAAGGCAGUAGAAUAUCAUGUUUUAAAUGCCACUUUUUUGGGGGGGUAAAAUUUCUUGACAAAUAUGUUUCUCUUUUUUCUUUUGUUAUUUCGUCCCUCUUUGGUACAGCUACAAAACAUGUGCGAGGUGUUGCCCCAUGGGAAAUUGUGCUAUAGCUAGAAACCUGUGUUUUCAUAUAUACAUGCAUAUAUAACAAGCUUUUUAGUUUCUCUGUUGCUUUGUUGAAGUUCUUUGUGUUUCAAUAAACUCCCUGUAUUUAAACAGUACUGCACUGACUUAUAUUUUUCAAACUGAUUUUGCCUGAACGCACCCUGAUUUUGACCAGCAGAAAAUAGCAGGAUCUGACAAUUCAAUCAAUGGCUUUAUACAUUUUUAUUUUUAUUUGAAUUUAUUCUUUUCGUUUCAUUUUGUCUUUUGAAUCAAAUUGAGGAAAAAAUGUAACUGUUUAUGAACUAUUUGUACAAUAUAAAAUAUAUGAAAAAUUUAUGACUCACUGAGAGACAUGUUUAUCUCUCUGUUCCUUGUCAUCUGUGCAGGCUGAGAAUAUGACUACAAAAAGUCCCAAAUGUCAAAAAGGUAUUCUCAAGUGGAAGCUCAGUAAUGGUCCAAAAAUUAGGCACAUGCUUUCUUCCAUGUGUGACUGAGCAUGCAGUUCAGCAAUUUCACCACUAGAUGGAGUCAUUGCCAAAGGAAUGUCAACUUUGAAUUGGAGCAUCACUGGACUGACAGUGAAAUUACACAUCACAUUACCCCUGACUUCAUCCAGAGAUGUAACAGGAUCUCCUCCAGAGUGGGACGGUCCUCAGGCUGGAGGACCGCAAUCACAAUGUAUAUAUGUAUAUAUAGUGAUUGUUGAAUUUCUCUAAUUUCAGACCUGUUUCAAAUCAUAAGCAGACACAACCAAAAACCGCUUCAUGUCGGAAAAUAUACUAAAUUGAUAUGCAGAGUUUUUCUCUCUCACUCUUUGUAUUUACAAUGCAAACAAGAUGGAGAGAAACGUUGUGUAUUGCCUACUUUGCAUAAAGCCCCAACAGUCCAUUCGCACACACCUGAGCAGAGUUUGCCUGAAAGACUGCACACCACAGAAAUGUGAGGCCAGAUGGUGGAAUUGAACUCAGGACCUUCUUGCUGGGGGGCAACAGUGCUAACCACUGUGCUGCACAGUGGAGGACAGCUGCAUCGAUAUGUUGCUCAUCAAUGACCACCAAUUAGCAGAGAUCUGGCAAUGGACAUUUUUCCAAAAGACAGCAUUAUGCCCUAACCUUCCACUGUCAGGAUCAAAGGAAUGGCUUUGAUAAUACUGCUUAAACUAAGACUGUACAAAUUUAAGAAACACAAUGGCAACAUUCAACAAUUAGACCUAACAUUUCCCCCCUUUUUGUCAUUGUAUAUACUUAAAUUUCAACUUAUGCACCCUUUGUUUGGACAGUGACAGUGUAGAUUUCAUUCAUACACAACUCCUCUUCAUUCACCUUCUAUCGAUGCAAAAGUUCACAGUUAAUACAUGUAAGCAGUUAACCUGCUUCUCAUUGAUCUCAUACACAGUAAACUACAUCCUAUACGUAAGCAAAUCAGUGUCAACAGUCCAAAAACAGGAAUUAAUAUUUUCAAAAGAAGAUGCCACCAAGGACCAGACAUUCACCAAGUUAUCCAGCCUUGUGGUGCAUCUACUCCUGUCGUGCGAUUCAUUAUGUAUUCCUGCAAGUAAACAACUGAAUGUAACAGUCAAACAAGAAGAAUCAACAUUCUCAAAAAUCAAAUGUCACUACAAUCCAACUGUAUACAGACAUAGACAUUCAAACACAUCAGUUGACUUUAUCGUUUGUCCAUGUGGCUCUCAGCUAACUUCAAAGCUGUAGCCUGGUCAACACCCUUCUUUAUGACUCCUAUCAACCCCCCGAAUCUUCUCACUAUAGGCAUCCUAUGGGGGUUAGAGUCAACUGGUAAAUUAUCCGCAUUUACAACUCUUGUCCUGUCCUGUUGUCACCACAGGAAAAGCUUUGUAAAGGAAAUUGGAUCAAGCUGUUUUGAUCUUCUUGGCUCACAACCUCAACCAGCUUAGAGAAGUGUUCAUGAUGCAAAUGUAGACAAAAGCUUCUCUGUUUGCAUCCUUCUUGCAGAGGACACAAAGAAUAGGUGACGUUGCUCAGAUUUCAUGGUAAAUCUCCAACUUGGACUAAUCCAUUGCCCUUCAUACACAUAGGCAACUGGCCUAUUUCCCGUUCAUUUAGCUGUUCAAUGUCCUGCAGCAAGUCAGACACUUGGAGUCAGACUAUCAGGUCUAUCGCACCAGAGCAGUUCACCUUCCCAGCUACUGGUGAAUCAACCGUCCAGUCAGGUUCAGAAGUUGAAAAGUUGGCAGUGUUCCAAGAACGUUUACUCCUGGAUGUGUCGCUACGGCAACCAACAAACUGUCUCACUCUCAGUGAUGCUAUAUGGCCACAGUCCAGAAGAAUGUGUAGACAGUGGCAUCACAAGCAUAACCAUUGGUCUUGUUCUUUAUGUGAGCGGUUGUGUUCACAAACUGCCACCAGUAGUUGUUGAAAACCCCAUGCGGGUACUGGGUGUGGUUUGCUCUGUCCCAGUGCGCUCCUGUCAUCCCACUCAGAGUUAACAGGCACAAGGCGCACAGCACAUUCCCAGCCAUUCUGAUGAGUACCUGUGGCUCAGUUGGUUUCUUCACCGGAUUGAGACGAGGGGCCCUGGAGGCUUUCCCCCCCCUUUGUACCCGGUCUUCCUGCCACUUACCCCGAGCUGGCCUGGAUGUGUGUCACCUUCUUGCAGUGCGCUUGAUGUAUCCAAGCGUUCCUUCCAGCAACUUCACCGCUGUGGUCGUCGUCAGCAGCAUCCGAUAUGGACCUUCCCACCGUGGACUGGACCAGGACUUCCUCUCCAUGGCCUUGUCAACAUCCAAUCUCCAGACUUCAGACUCUGCUCCUGCGGAGAAACAGAAUCAUCUGGCAGAUCAUUUGUUCUCAAGACUUCUUUACUUUUAAACAUUUUAAGCAUCUAAUCUGCUAAUAUGCUCUCUCUUCUGCUCUCCUAUCAUCACUACAGAAGACUAGAACUCUAAAUACUCUAACAUAUAUAAUCUCAACGAGUCAAACCAUUCUCUGUUGGAGUAAUCCUCAUGUACAUCUUAACUAAUUCUAUACAGUUUAACCAUGUCCUGCGUGUCUCUUCCUAAGUCUUAACAUUACUAUUCCAUUAGUUCUCUCUACCAACCCUGCACUUUGUGGGUGAUAUGAACAAUGACGUUUUUAGUGUUAUCCCUAGAUGUUGUGCCAUUAAUCCAAUCACUUCAUUUACAAAAUGUGAACCAUCAUCGCUAAACAAUACUCAUAGUUAUUACAGCUGGACAGCUCUAUAGUCCAUGUGAAUAACUUGAAAUGGGUGACUGGGUCUGGGGAAUUUCCCUCUCUUAGAUCUCAAAUUACGCCGAGAAUUGUGCUUGAACAUAUCAUACAUGACCUGCAAAAAUUUAUUUAUUUAUUUUGUUAAGGGUAUUUAAUUGUAAAGUAUAAACUACUCAUUAUCUCCCUCCUGUUGCGACAUGGCAAAGCCCAUGGCGCAAAAUAGCAGCAGUCUUAUACAAAUUCUAAGGCAGUAUUGGUUUAUCACACAGAUAACAAACACCAUCCUACAGGCUCGCUCCUACUGUAAAUCACAACUGUUUCCCUGCAGUAGAUGAGUGGCCCUGCAUGUCUACCAGUGCAUCACGCAUAAUAGCCAACGUCUGCUGGCGUUGCACUGCUAAAACGUUAACACCAUGUUCUCCUAAAGUUGCCUCUUUCGCGAUCUUAUCUGCAAAAGCAUUCUCUAAUGCAACUGGAUCUUGCCGUCACAUGUGUGCUACACAUUUACAAACGGCAAUCCUACUGGGUAAAAACUCUGCCUCCAGCAGAUUUUGCAGAGUUUGGCGUGUUCUACAGGUUUCCCUGUAGAGGCUGUCACACCUCGUCUCACCCACUGCACCACAAAGAAAUGUAACGUAGCAAAUGCAUACUGGCUAUCAGUGUAUAUUGUCACAUCUUAUUUCUCUGCAGCUUUACAUGCUUCCGUUAAAGCUAGCAUCUCUGCUGCUCAAGCAAAUAUGAAACAUGCUAGUUGUCCUGCACAGAUAACUUUCUCACUAUCUACUACAGUAAAACCUGUUUUAGUCUGUCCCUCUACUGUUGUAAAACUCAAACCAUCAACAAACCAAACCUUUCCCUCACCAAGUGGCACAUCUAGUAAGUCAUCCCUUGGCUUACACUCCUUCUCUACGUGGUCUCUACACUCAUGAGGAGUGCCCUCUUCUUUCGUUGGCAAAAGGUUUGACAGAUUCAGAAUUGUGCACCUGUGAAAAGAUUUUGUUUAUUAUUCAAAUAUGCUUUGCUUGUGAUUGUGUAAACUCUGAAUGACGAUUCACCCUGAUAAAACAUGAAACCUUGCCUAUGCUUAUCAAAUGCCUGUGAAGACAAGUUCCUGUGCAAAGAACAACGGAAAAUGCCACUUAAUGUGGUGUCGCGAAAAUGAGAUAACCGGGGACGGUUACUAAAGUAGUGACAACGCCACCUGGGGGAGGGCGCUACAACCCCAGGAAAGAUUUCUCUAGCCAAUGAGAAGAUUGCACUGGCUACCAAAGCCCACAGACUCGUUAUUUAAAGGCAGAGGUGAGACAAAGAAAGUUUAUAAUUCAAAAGUUUAUUUAGAGGAACUACUAAAACAUAACUAAAAGAUUAAAAAGGCACCUAGGGUAGCAGGGGUAAGAGAGUAA
ensembl:lncRNA